CUGUUUCCGGGAUAUUGCUUUUGCUUUUCUCUUCUCUUGCUGAUGAAGAAAGUAAGAGGAGCCAUGUUCUCUUUUGUCCUGUAAAUAAUAAGCAUAGUGCUUCGUAUGCCUCAAGACUCACUUUCACUGCCUGCUGAUAUCUGCUGAUACUGUGUGCAGAUGUUUACAGAUAUCUGUCACACCGGUGGCUCGGGAGGAACAUUAAUCAUCUGAGUGGCACUUCAAAGGGAGUAACACACCAGCCGUGGUGUUGAUUUCCCAGUAUCUGGUUAUGGGCCCAGAGCAGCGAGGCUUUUGAUCCGGCCGGAGCUGUUUGCAGAGACUAUGCUGGACUCUAAUAAGGUAUGUUGGAUCGAUGCCCAGACGUGGGGGCAAAAGGCUUUUCUGAGGUCUGGAAGCUGAACCGGGAAGCUGGCAGCAGCGUACACAGCUUAAAUUAAUGACUGCUUGCAAGUUCCCAGCAGCAGUUAAGAGCUGGGAUGGAUCACCCAGUGCAGGAAGGGGUUCAUUUCCCCAAGCUGACGCAGGGAAAUUGUCAGAUCUGGUCAGUCUAUGCGGAGGCAUUUUUAAGGAAGGAGGGGGUUUGGAAUACAGUUGAUGAGCAGCAGACUCUUCAGCCACUUGGAAGAGGGCAGAAUCAAAGGCAAGAGGCUUGUUAACCCUUGCAGUAUCACCUGAAGAAUUAAUUCUUCGAAGGUAGUAACACACCAGCCAUGGUGUUGAUUUUCCAAAACUGAGGUGAUGUGUUUUUGGGGGGAACACAACACUGCUGGCCCAUCUAUGUUAAAGACUCAGAUGUUCUUGAUACUUUAGGGCAGAAAGAGCUCGGUUGAACUGUUUUGCCAGAAGUGGCACUGUUUUGACUGACAAAGUGGGAGGCGUCUCUUCUAGGGUGGAUCAGUGAACCCAUGAAUCACAUAAGGGGGCCAGGGGAACAGCUGGACCACUAACAACCUCCUUCUCCUUGCAUAACCACCCUCCUCCUCAUAUCAAACAGUGGUCUGUCAUGACUCAGAAAGUGAUGUUCACUGCUGCCUUCACUUUCUGGCGGAAAAGACAGCUGACGUGAACAAUACAUCUCUCUCUAAAAAAGAGAGAAUGGGGAUAGGCCAUAGCUCAAUCACAGAGCAUCUGCUUUGCAUGCAGAAGGUCCAAGGUUCAUUUGCCAGCAUCUCAGUUGGGAAUGUUCUCUGCAUGAACCCUGGAAAGCUGUUGCAAGUCUGUGCAUGCAGUACUGAGCUAGAAUGGAUCUUCUUAUUUUGCUAGAAUGAGAGUAUGAACCCAUUUUGACAUCCUCCUCCUCCUCCUCCUCCUCCAGAGGCCCUUUUCAACCCUUGGGUAAUACUGAUCACUACAGUUUUGAUUAAGUACAGAAAACAAUGAAUUUCCUUGCCCAAGCCACUACAAGAUAUCUUCCAGUCUUCUGAAUACCGAGAUUCCUUGCUUGCACCAUAGGUAGACCUUUUGCUAGGCUCAACUUGCUCACUUUUCAAGAAGUCAAAUAAGUGUCCAGUGGAUCUCCUCAAAAGUCCAUCUCAUUCACCAAACACUUAAUAAAACACCCAGCUAGAUUAUUCCCCUUUAACACACCACUGUAAUUCAUUUUAGAGAAAUAAUGUUAUCAGAUUGAGACAUUAAAAAACAAUAAAACUCCAGAAAGGUUAUUUUCUCCAGUUAAUAAGCAGAGCACAAUUCACUAAACUUGGGCAGAAUACGCUGGGAGUUUAAUAAACUAAACAGGCAGUGCUUGGUCUAUUAAUUUCUAGACUAGCAUUGAAAUUCAGGCACUUGGCCAAUUCUCCUCACCCCUCCUUCCCCACUUCUUGGAAAUAUUUUAGAUAGCUCUUCAUGAAGCUUAACUCUGAUGCUGUUGCCAUUUCACUGUUUAGCGGAAACCUUGUUUAUUCAGCUUAGUAUAAACUGCUGCCAUACCCGUGACCAGCAGAAUCUGAGAACCAGGGGAAUGAAAGCAUAUUUCGUGGUUAAGGUUCAUACUGUGCAAGGAGGCAAUUUCAUCUUCCGUUCCUUCUUCUCACCACCCUUGUCUGGGCUGGAGCGAGUGGUGGGUGAACAAGCAAACAGGUUGCAAGGGUGAAGAGCAAAAGCAGGUACAAAGGGCUGUUGUUAGUGGGCCCCUCGGUGGGGUGUGGAUCCUCAACAGAUGCCCAAAUGUGCCAACCUUUGAUGCCAGCUAGUCUAACUUGAAUCAAGCAAGCUUACUCUGACCUUGGUCUGAUCCAUGCUCCUUAUGGUGAGGACCACUGGUCUACAUUUAUGCCAAAUUGCCAGGUAUUUACUGAAAAUAAUGACAUGUCCCUUGACCCCUUCAGUUUUACGAUCCUCCAUGCCCCAAUGUGACUAAGGCAACCAAUUAAAAAUAAUUGGGAGUCACUCCCUACUAGUGAGACCAGACUAUUAGAAUAUGCAAUGAUGUGUCCCUCGCCUUCAAAAAUCAACAAGUUGCGCAUUAGAAGAGACUGCGGUAAUUGCCGGCUGCAACAGUGAUAUCAAGAUUUGACAGUGGUUUAUAGCCUACGUCAACGUGAGCAAAAGUAUGAAGCACUGCUCUAAUUGCUUUGGGUUAUAAUUAGUAUUGUCCCCUUCUCUUCAGUGACUAAUGCAAUGGGUGAUCAGCCAGCUUGCCAUGUUUAUACCCCAUCAGUAAUGAAUGUUUAAGUGUCAGUUUCAUUGGAGAGGGACUGUUAAAGUUUAUUGGCAUUGCACAUGCUCUUUAGUGAGAAACAGUGGACUUAGAUAUGAGGACUAUUGCAGAGAAGAUUAUAUGCAGAGUGGAUUUUAUGAGAGGAUCCAUACCUUGUGCCUCUCGGUCUUUAUUACGCAUGCCAAGAAUGUGUGGGCUUUUCAUGCCUAAUGCACACACCCACCCAAAACAAGCAUCAGGGGUGGAGAAGCAGCAAUAUGUCAAACUGAGAGCUCCUAAGAAGAAUGCUGCUAGGUUUUGUUGUUGUUUAGUCAUUUAGUCGUGUCCGACUCUUCGUGACCCCAUGGACCAGAGCACGCCAGGCACUCCUGUCUUCCACUGCCUCUCGCAGUUUGGUCAAACUCUUGCUGGUAGCUCCGAGAACACUGUCCAACCAUCUCGUCCUCUGUCGUCCCCUUCUCCUUGUGCCCUCCAUCUUUCCCAACCUCAGGGUCUUUUCCAGGGAGUCUUCUCUUCUCAUGAGGUGUCCAAAGUAUUGGAGCCUCAGCUUCAGGAUCUGUCCUUCCAGUCAGCACUCAGGGCUGAUUUCCUUCAGAAUGGAUAGGUCUGAUCUUCUUGCAGUUCAUGGAACUCUCAAGAGUCUCCUCCAGCACCAUAAUUCAAAAGCAUCAAUUCUUCGGCGAUCAGCCUUCUUUACUUUAUGGUCCAGCUCUCACUUCCAUACAUCGCUGCUAGGUUAGACCAAAGAUUUAUCUGGUCCAGCAUCUUGUUUCUCAGUGUCCAGUUGCCCGUGGUCCAAUUAGACCAGCAUCCUGUUCUCACAGCGGCCAACCAGAUGCCUGUGAAGAACCCUCAAGCAGGAUUUGAGCAUAUCAGCACUUUCUCCUCCUUCGGUUUCCAGCAAUUGGCAUUCAGAAGCAUCUCUGCUUCUACCUGUGAAGGCAGAGAAUAGGCUUCAUAGCUAGUAGCCACUGAUAGCCUUCAUGAAUUUGUCCAAUCUUCUUUUAAAGUCAUCCAAGUUGGUGGCCAUUGUUGCCUCCUGUGCUGGCAUGUUCCACGGUUUAUAUGUGCUGCAUGAAGAAGUACAGUGGUACCUUGAGAGCCAGCAUGGUGCAGUGGUUAGGAGUGGUAGACUUGUAAUCUGGGGAACUGGGUUUGCUUCCCUGCUCCUCCACAUGCAGCUGCUGGGUGACCUUGGGCUAGUCACACUUCUCUGAAGUCUCUCAGCCUCACUCACCUCACAGAGUGUUUGUUGUGGGUGAGGAAGGGAAAGGAGACUGUGAGCCACUUCGGGUAGUGAUACGGAGGAAUAUCAAAUCCAAACUCCUCCUCCUCUUCUUCUUCUUCUUCUUCUUCUUCUUCUUCUUCUUCUUCUUCUUCUUCCCUUCUUGGUUCUCAAACCGUAAUCUGUUGCAGAAGUCCGUUUGACUUCCAAAAUGUUUGGAAACCAAAGCACAGCUUCCAGUUGACGCAGGCACCCCAGAAACAAUAGCCGACAGCCUCACUGGACAUUCAGCUUCCAAUUUUUUUUCGAAAACUUACUUCCGGGUUUUCAGUGUUCAGGAGCAGAAAUGUUCGAGUACCAAGGCAUUUGAGAACCAAGGUUCCACUGUAUUUUCUUUGAUCUGUCCCAAAUCUUCCAAUAUUCAUUGGAUGUCUACUUUUAGUGAUGUAAGAGAGGGACUAAAACUUCUCUCUAUCUGCUUUGUCCAUGCUAUAUUUAACUUUAGAAAUGUCUAUCAUGUCGCUUCUCACUUUUACUCUAAACUAACAGGUCCCAUUAUCUUAAUCAAGGAGUUAUCUCAUGCCCUUGAUUAUUUGCCUUGCCCUUUUCUGAAUCUUUUCCAGCUCUACAGUAUCCUUUUUUGAGGCAAAGUGAGCAGAACAGAGUAUUCCAAAAGUGGCUGCACUGUAGAUGUGUAUAAUGGCUUUUAUGACAUUGGCGGUAUUGUUUUCAAUUCCUUUCCUAAUGAUCCCUGGCAUGAAAUUUGCCUUUUUCACAGCUGCCGCACACUGGGUUGACAUCUUCAGGAACUCCAGAAGCAGGACAUGAAAGGCAAUAGCCAUCUCCUGCUUUUGUUGCUCAGCAACUGGUAUUCAGAGAUAUGCUGCCUCUGAUCCUGGAGCUCAUAGACAGCCAUCAUGAAUAGAAGCCAUGAAUAGAUUUAUCCUCCACUCAUUUGUCUAAUCCCUCUUUUAGGCAAUCUAAGUUAGUGACCAUUGCCAUGUCUUGUGCAAAUGAGUCCCUUAGGUUAAUGAUGAAUGUGUGAAGAAGCACUAUUCAGUCUAUCCUGAAUCUCCAUUUGGCUUGGUUGGUGACCCCUGUUUCUAAUAUUAUGAUAAGAGGAAGAAAAAUCUCUUCCUUCCUACUUUCUCUCCACCAUGCAUAGUGUUACAAUGUGCACCACAUCUCUCUUCCAUGCUGGUGACAGGAAAACAGCAGCCUCUCUGGAAUCUAUUGUUCUGGAGCAACUGUUUCAAAGUACUUUGUGCGGAAACUGAAUGCAGAUUUAUUCAGGCCAGAAUUGGCACUCUGGACAUUGCGCUAUAAUUUCUUUCCCCCUUCCAGAGUGCUGCUGCAGCAAAAAGGAGCCCGAAUCAAUGGAUUUGCUAUUACAUUUCAUGCUCAACUGAUCUAGUUUCAAGCUUGGUGACACCGGCACAGAACUUGCAAAUAAAUAUUAAUUUGACACCUGAUUGUAGUUAUGAUCUAUCAUUAUUUGUGACUAAUGUACUUUGUCUCUGCAUCUUGUGUACUUAGUGAAUUGCAAUGCUGCGCACAAAUUGAUGCAAUCUCUACUUAUGCUCUAGCUGGGAAAAUCUAUUUUGCCUUUAAAUCACAUUGUAUUGACUUUACUUUUGAUACGCUCCAUAUUUCUCUCUUUUAAUGCACUGCCUGUCUCUCCCGUGGAAAUGUUGUGUUCAUGUCUCUCGGUGCAUAGCAGAAGCCAGUUAAAAGUUUGGACUCUAAAAGGAACCAGUGCCUAACACAGCCAGUCUGGCAUGCAUGCAGUAGGGACCCUAGAGAAGGGGUGCAAAUUGCAGAAAUUGAAUUAUGUGCAUUCUCUGGAAUAAGUCCAAGUUGGACAUGACUCCCCUAAUUAGACAUAUAGCUGGGGGAGAAGAGUUUGGAUUUGAUAUCCCGCUUUAUCACUUCCGUAAGGAGUCUCAAAGCGGCUAACAUUCUCCUUUUCCCUCCUCCCCCACAACAAACACUCUGUGAGGUGAGUGGGGCUGAGAGACUUCAGAGAAGUGUGACUAGCCCAAGGUCACCCAGCAGCUGCAUGUGGAGGUGCGGGGAAUCGAACCUAGUUCACCGGAUUACAAGUCCACUGCUCUUAUCCACUACACCACACUGGCUCUCAGGGAUGGAGAAAUGAGACCUUGGCUUUUCUUCCGCUCUCUUUUCCGAGUUUGAGGGUGCCUUCCUCACAAGAUAGCUCCCUUUGCUCACAGCUAUUGAUUGGAGGGCGUGAUUGGAUGUGUUUGUGUGCCAUGCAAUAGACUUUCCUAACGGAAAGCCACUUGCAGAGCAUGUUCUGCACUUUGCCGGAUUGUCACCUCCACCCAAUUUUUUUUUUUUUAGGCAUCAGGCAGGCAGGUUUUCCCACCCUGGCUGUCUCUCUUUCCUUCCUGAUGCCUUGCCCCACCAGACUGCCAUAGAUUGCUCUGGGCCAUCUAAGUAAACCCAUAGCAAUCUAUGACUAUCAGAACCUGACUCAUCUGAUGACCAAGUGCCUCCAAAUAAGCUCAAUUUGGCCCAGGAUUCGACCAAAUCCGAUACACAGCCCUAAAAGUCACCAUCUUAGAGGGAAAACAAAUUCUGGGUUCAGGACCAUGGACAGUUCUUACAGCUGAGACUUGCCCUGUCAGCAAAGGCUGAGUUUUAUAGCAGUCAGGAAGUCAUGGACAGGAGGCUCCACCAUCUGAGUGCUGCCUCCUGGCCAGUUAAAGGACUAGUGCUCCCCCCCCCCCGUGGCCAUUGGCUCCUCAUAGCUCUCUUGAUCCCCCAUGGAGUUUGUGGACUACCCAUCAGAGUAGGAGAUCAGAGUUGUCUCCUUGGGGUUCAAGGUAACAAAGGCAGGUUCCUUUGCCUCAAAACCUAGACAGGGCAGACCAGAGCUUGGAUCCAUUUCCUUAUCUAUCUAUCUAUCUAUCUAUCUAUCUAUCUAUCUAUCAUCUAUCAUCUAUCUAUCAAUCAUCUAUUUAUCAGCUUUCAUCUUUCUGUCUAUCUAUCAUCUAACUAUCAUCUACAUACCUAUAUUAAAGGGUUUGGUUUGUUACAAAAGUAGGUGCAUUGUCUCUUUUUGGCCUCUGUGGAGUCCUAGUGGGAAUCUGGGAUUCCAGCCUGGGAAUCUGUGGUUGCAUUCUAAAUUCUUUCUGGAUCACAGCUCUGAUUACUCUCUCUGUGUAUGUUUGGAUUGAUAUCAUUAUUUUAAAAGUGACCAUUGCAAAGAGUCAAAGGUCCUAAGCAGAGAAGAAGAAGAAGAAGAAGAAGAAGAAGAAGAAGAAGAAGAAGAAGAAGAAGAAGAAGAAGAAGAAGAAGACAAUCUCUCUUCUGUGUGUAUGUUUUCAGAGAAAUGGUUGAAUGAUUUGUGAAUUAUCUGGCUAUGCAGCGCUGAAGGAAGAUUCAUUGUGCAUACCAUUCCACAUUGUGACUCAAAGGUUUCCACUAAAUUAAGGUAUAAUGCACAAAACACUGAAGAGUAAAAUAUAUCUCAUUUCAUUUCAUUGUAUCAAAUCAUAGGUUUCUACGGGGCUGGAGUAUAUUCUGUUAUCUUGUUUAGAGCGAAAUGAAUGUGUGGGUGUGUUUAAAAGUGCAAGUCGCUUUUGCAGGAUUAUAAACUUUCAUAAGGGUAAUGAAUGGUGGCUGGAGAGAAAAAUAGCAUUUUACAGAUGGGGAACAGUGCAGCAGAAGCAAUUUGGGCAAAUGGAGCCUAGUCCCACCAACCUCAGGUAGUCCCUGCCUGCUUGCUUUCCUUAAAAGCAGUUGGGAGUGGCUCUGGAUCCACCUAGAAUCAUAGAAUCAUAGAAUCAUAGAGUUGGAAGAGACCACAAGGGCCAUCGAGUCCAACCCCCUGCCAAGCAGGAAACACCAUCAGAGCACUCCUGACUUAUGGUUGUCAAGCCUCUGCUUAAAGACCUCCAAAGAAGGAGACUCCACCACACUCCUUGGCAGCAAAUUCCACUGUCGAACAGAUCUUACUGUCAGGAAGUUCUUCCUAAUGUUUAGGUGGAAUCUUCUUUCUUGUAGUUUGGAUCCAUUGCUCCGUGUCCGCUUCUCUGGAGCAGCAGAAAACAACCUUUCUCCCUCCUCUAUGUGACAUCCUUUUAUAUAUUUGAACAUGGCUGUCAUAUCACCCCUUAACCUCCUCUUCUCCAGGCUAAACAUGCCCAGCUCCCUUAGCCGUUCCUCAUAAGGCAUCGUUUCCAGGCCUUUGACUAUUCUGGUUGCCCUCCUCUGGACACGUUCCAGUUUGUCAGUGUCCUUCUUGAACUGUGGUGCCCAGAACUGGUACCUACCAUUGGCCUCUGUGCCUUCUGUUCUAACUGUCCCAUUGGACACCACCCACUACUGGAAAUGUGAGUGUAUGAGAUAGAGAGAGUGUGUGUGAAUGUGUGUGUGAGAGAGGGAACAGGAGAAAGGGAAGCAGGGGUCAUUGAUGGAGUUGGGUGUUGGAAGGUCUCAUACCACAACUUCCUGAAGUUAAACUUUGACCAAUCACCUCCUGACCAGCUGGCCAUUUGUCUUCCAUGCAAACUUAGAAAAGCAAGCUUCCUUCUUCAACAAUACAGAUGGUCAUUUACCCUCGCUAGAUUCAACAUGCUGCCAUCUGCCUUAUUGCAUGGCAGAUCUGAGGGUAAACCAUACAUGGAACAAGUCUGCCCCUGCGGCUUGAUGGAGGUAGAAAUUGUCUCUCAUGCCUUGUUACGCUGCUGUUUCUACAGGGAUAUACGCUGGUAUUUAUCACCCCUGCUACCUGUAUGCAAAAAUCUCCAAAUGAAUCCGAACUUCAAUGUCUAAAAUCCCUGGUAGAGGACAAGGAUCCUGAGAUCACGUUAAGGGUAGCCAAAUUCUGUGUGAUUGCCAUAAAACUUAGGGAAGAAGCUGUGCUAUCAUAAUGAUUAAGGUUUUAAAUGAUAAUUUUAGGUUAUUUGUUAGUGGCUAAGUUUUGAUUUAUAUAUAUUUUUAACUGUUGCUAUAUCUGUAUUGUCCCUGUUAUACCUAAUUGCAAAUUCAAAUGUAUCCCUAUAGUGUUUUAUGACUUCCUUGAUAUUGUAUGUGGGCUGCAACUGGUCUGUGACAGAAAUAAUAAAUUCAUUCAUUCCUUCUUCAAGGUUGCCAUCUAUUCUGCAGUGCCACCCCAUCUGAACAUUAAGUCACCUAACUCCAGGCCAAUCCCCACCCACCAUGCUUUAUGGUACAAAACCCUUAAAUUUAGACCAGAAGUGGACACUUUUCUUUCAGCCCAAAAGCUGCAUUACCUUCUCAGCAAUCUGCGUGUGUGUGUAUACAUGCCAGUGGUAGGUGGGGCCCCAAUGAAAAGUGAUGGGAUCAACAAACACACAUUUUACCUUCGUGCAUCAGGCUAGUUUCUACACACCCUCACCCAAGACACUAUGAGAGUUUAAGGAUGCGUCCCAGCCAGGCAAACAACACUCAAGGGGGGUGUGACACUGAGGUCCAGCACUGAGGGCCUUCUGGCGGUUCCCUCACUGCGAGAAGCCAAGUUACAGGGAACCAGGCAGAGGGCCUUCUCGGUAGUGGCGCCUUCCCUGUGGAACACCCUCCCACCAGAUGUCAAAGAGAACAACAACUACCAGGCUUUUAGAAGACAUCUGAAGGCAGCCCUGUUUCGGGAAGCUUUUAAUGUUUGAUGUAUUAUAGUAUUUUGGUAUUCUUUUGGAAGCCGCCCAGAGUGGCCGGGGAAGCCCAGCCAGAUGGGCGGGGUAUAAAUAAUAAAUUAUUAUUAUUAUAUUAUUAUUAUUAUUAUUAUAAGAGCAGUGAGUGGUGUGGCUGGGAGGGGAUAUGGCUAAGGAAAAGUCCCAAGGAUCAAUCAGAGAGACCCGAGGGCCACAUUUGGCGAUACAGUGGUACCUCGGGUUAAGUACUUAAUUCGUUCUGGAGGUCUGUUCUUAACCUGAAACUGUUCUUAACCUGAAGCACCACUUUAGCUAAUGGGGCCUCCUGCUGCCGCCAUGCCGCUGGAGCACGAUUUCUGUUCUCAUCCUGAAGCAAAGUUCUUAACCUGAGGUAAUAUUUCUUGGUUAGCGGAGUAUGUAACCUGUAGCGUAUGUAACCCGAGGUACCACUGUAUCUUUACUGGUGGCUGAACCCAUAGAGAACAGAAAGAUGGACAGACAGAAAGUCAGACAAACCACUUUCCAAAAUAUAUACUUUUUUGCACAUUUUUACCUCAGUAUAUAUGCAGUUUUCUACACAUUGGCUGGAGAGUUGCAUCUCAAAAUUCAGAGCAGAGUGAAUUUUGGUUUCGGUUCCUGAAUGGUUUUGGAAAGUGCGAAUUAGUAGAUUUGCCUUUAAAUGUGAACUGAAUUUAAUUUCUCUCCACCCCAGCUACCUUCUCUCCCUGGCAAAACAGGGGUAUUUUUUGGUUGUGUAUGUUAUGAUCUCUGUGUUGUAGAGGAUUAGAUUUUGUGAAGCUAAAAUGCUACUGAGCUCCUUGCAUCAAGUGCAUCCAAAUGUAACCAAUAACUAUGCAAAUUAUGUUUACUUUAUGUUAUUAAGUAUGCAAAUUUGGCAUUUCGCUGAAACUCAUGAUGCUACCUUUCCAGCGGGGUCCUCACCAAUGGAAAAUUUAGUCAUUCCUAUAUUAAACCAUUAGGUUCUUCCCCUUCUGAUUUCUUCCUAUAUGGCCUUCUGUGGUGGACCAGGCCUGUGAAUGACUCCAAGUGAAAUGCAAGGCAUCUGUGAACUUCAGCCUUGAUCACUGAUGGAUAAGAUUGAGCCUGGCAGGGAGAGAUGUAUAUAAUUGUACAACUGGGUGUGAUUAAUCUACCCUAAUAAUAACAGAGAUUUAUACUAGUCCCUGUGCAGUAAUCUGUACAGAGUUAGCCAGAUAACACCCUCUCCCAUGAAUAAUUCAAGGAAAUGAAUUAGAUUAUUCCAGAUCUCCUAUGGGUAAUAUUUACAUAUUGGCUUAAUAUUGCUAAACACUCAUCUUCACAAGCAGACAGCUUAUCCAAGAUAAAAGCAAACAUGAUGUAUAGUUUGUGAUCAAUCAAUCACAAAGUGAUGGGUUUCCCCCACCCAGUGUCAAUUCUUCUCAUUUUCCCAUCUUACUUUCUGAAAUGACGUCAACACUCUCAUUACCCAGUCUCACAUUUUCCGUUUGAGGACAAAAGACACUCUGCAAGGCAUGGGAUGGCAAACCACAUACAGUGGUACCUCGGGUUAAGUACUUAAUUCAUUCCGGAGGUCUGUUCUUAACCUGAAACUGUUCUUAACCUGAAGCACCACUUUAGCUAAUGGGGCCUCCUGCUGCCACCACGCCGCCGGAGCACAAUUUCUGUUCUCAUCCUGAAGCAAAGUUCUUAACCUGAAGCACUAUUUCUGGCUUAGUGGAGUCUGUAACCUGAAGCGUCUGUAACCUGAAGCAUAUGUAACCCGAGGUACUACUGUACAUUUCUUUGAUUUCUAAUGCUAUGGCAAAAAGACGGCCCAGAUGUUUACAAUGUUAGGUCGAGAAUGAUUUCCUCUCCAUCUUAUCCCUUUCCGUUUUCAUAGGAACUCAAAACCCUCAACAUGCUUUUACCUGCAAUCCAGUGCCAUCUGGCCUUUUGCCACACAUUCUCUGUUCUCUCACAACCUCCCUUUUUAUUUCAUGCAGCGAAACAGGAAGGAUGGAAUUGCACCUUUAUGGAUCGAUCCACAUAAAUUCUCAGUGUCCUCCUGGGCAGGACCACCCAUUAUCAGGUACGCAGGCCUGCUAGUGGAAAACAAUGGCCCCAUGUUGAGUGCUGUCAUCUCAUUCUAUAAUGUGCGCUUCAGGGGACUUGAGUUCUCAUACCACGUGUUUCCCUGCUCCCAUCACUCUGUGUCUCUGGCUUCUGCUGGCAGGAACGAGGAAAUGCUCUGUGCAACAAUGACCUGGCAUGAGUUAAGCUGAACUAUUAAGAAGAAGGUGGGUGUCAGGAGCUUCUGGGUCUCAGGUUGGCUGCUCCCUUGUGACGAGCCACUGAACUGGAUAUUGCAGCACCUGCCUAGUCAGCUUGAUUUAUUUUAAGCAUUUUUUGUUUACUCUACACUUCAGCCAAGAAGACUCCCAGAAUAGCUUGCAAAGAUCUGUAACAAGAUAGUCCUUUCCUUCAGGCUUACUCUCAGGUCCUGGACUUGCCUGCUUUCCCAGGGGUGUGACUAGGCCCUCCUGGACAGGAAACAGCUACCUUUGAAGGUGAUUAACCACAAUUAAUCCAGAAUGCGGCAGCUAAACUGGUGACUGGGAGUGGCUGCCGAGACCAUAUAACACCGGUCCUGAAAAACCGACAUUGGUUCCCAGUAUGUUUCCGAGCACAAUUCAAAGUGUUGGUGCUGACCUUGAAAGCCCUAAACGGCCUCGGUCCAGUAUAUCUGAAGGAGCAUCUCCAUCCCCAUCAUUCUGCCCAGACACUGAGAUCCAUCUCCGAGGGCCUUCUGGUGGUUCCCUCACUGCGAGAAGCCAAGUUACAGGGAACCAGGCAAAGGGCCUUUUCGGUAGUGGCGCCCGCCCUGUGGCACACCCUCCCAUUAGAUGUCAAGGAAAUAAACAACUUUCUGACUUUCAGAAGACAUCUGAAGGCAGUCCUGAUUAGGGAAGUUUUUGAUGUUUGAUGUUUGAUUGUGUUUUUAAUCUUCUGUUGGGAGCCGCCCAGAAUGGCUGUGGAAACCCAGCCAGUUGGGUGGGGUAUACAUAAUAAAUGAUGAUAUCUUCUUGACGUCUGCCAUAAGAACAUAAGAAAUGCCUGUCAGGUGGAUGAGGCAAUGGAUCCAUCUAGUCCAGCAUCCUGUUCUCCCCACGGCCAACCAGAGACCUCUUGGGAAACCUGCAAGCUGAACCUGAGUGUAAUAAGACUCUCCAGCAAAAUAAUUCAACUGUGUUUUUUAUUUUCAUUCACUUUGAUGGGACCUAGUAAUAACGCACUUUUGCUUCAUUGGCUCUUUCAAUUCUCCUUCUGUCUUUACCUGCUAGCUAACCUCAAAAUGCGGGUGGUGCUGUGGGUUAAACCACAGAGCCUAGGACUUGCCGAUCAGAAGGUCGGUGGUUCGAAUCCCCGCAAUGGGGCGAGCUCCCGUUGCUCAGUCACUGCUCCUGCCCACCUAGCAGUUCGAAAGCAUGUCAAAGUGCAAGUAGAUAAAUAGCUACCGCUCCGGCAGGAAGGUAAACGGCAUUUCCGUGCGCUGCUCUGGUUCGCUAGAAGCGGCUUAGUCAUGCUGGCCACAUGACCCGGAAGCUGUAUGCCGGCUCCCUUGGCCAGUAAAGCGAGAUGAGCGCUGCAACCCCAGAGUCGGCCGCGACUGGACCUAGUGGUCAGGGGUCCCUUUACCUUUAACCCCAAGACACGGCAUGCUUUGGAAGGGAGCACCAGACAGAAUUUAAGAACUGAAGAGGAGCUCUGCCAGAUCAGGCCAAAGAUCAGGCCAGUUAGUCCUACAUUCUGUUCUCACCGAGGUCAAACAGAUGUCAAGGGAAGCCCCCAGGCAGGACCUGAGUGUAACAGCAGUCUCCAUACUUGUGAUUUGCAGCAAGUGGUGUUGAGAGAGAAUAUUGCUCCCCCAGAGGAGUUAGAAGUUACAGGUAGGUAGCCGUGUUGGUCUGCUGUAGUUGAAACAAAAUAUAAAAAAUCCUUCCAGUAUCACCUUAGAGACCAACUAAGUUUGUUAUUGGUAUGAGCUUAGAAGUUCCUCAGGAACUUAGGAGUUAGAAGUUCCUCAUCAUGGCUAAUGGCCAUUGACAGCCUUACUCUUCAUGAAUCACAUACACACGUGCAAGAAGGCAUCCCUGUUCAGGGAAGGUAUCAGUGUGUGAUGUUAUAUUGUGCUUUUACUACUUUUUGUUGGGGCAACCCAGUCAGACGGGCAACAUAUAAAGAAUAAUAAAUGAUGAUAAUGAUGAGGAAUUGUUACCUACUGAUCUGAAGCCCUUGCCCUUCUCUCCCCUCCAUGUUACACCUAGUAAGUCCCAUGAGUAUAGUCUAGGGCAGUGUUUCUCAACCUUGGGUCACCAUCUGAUGUUGGACUACAACUCCCAUCAUCCCUAGCUAUCAGGGGUGAUGGGAGUUGUACUCCAACAACAUCUCAACCCAAGGUUGAGAAACACUAAUCUGGGGAAUAUCCAAAAAGCUGUUUUAUUGCUGGCACCUGCAACAAAAUGUCAUUGAUUCACUAAUAGUGCAAUAUUAGCAGACUGUCCACACAUCAUCCUGGUUUAUCAGUUCUUUCAUGUUUCCCAACAUUCCCACACUGUAGCAUUCACAUUUUAACUCCACCCAUUCCAUUGGCCACCCCCAAUCCCACCCCUCUCCCCACAGCAUGUUAUUUGUGCUAUAAUGCCAUGCCACCAUACUUGUACACCUUCAGCUUUUAUGAUUAGGCUGUGAUUGCUGUGCUAAAAUAUUGCUCAUUUUCAAGGGGUGGGUGUGGCCGUAUAUUAUACCAACAGGAAGUAUGUGGGAGUAGCUACAUCACAAAGAGGGGGAUACAUUUUUCUAAGGUAUUCUUGCACCAUAGCGUAUUAAAUUUGGGACUAAAGAAAGAAACAACUGGUGAACUUGUAGUAUAAAUUGUUACAGGAUUAUUAUUAUUAUUAUUAUUAUUAUUAUUAUUAUUGCAGGAAGCUACAGGACAUGCAAUUGUAUUGAUAGCACAAUCACAUAUAACUACCCCAAACAGAAUCGUGAGCACAAAUGGUGAUGAAUGCGCAAUAAAAAAGGACAUAUUGGGGGC